rnacentral:rRNA from 1 species
AGUGAACGCUGGCGGCGUGCCUAAUACAUGCAAGUCGAACGGACGAGUAAGAGCUUGCUCUUAUGAGUUAGUGGCGCACGGGUGAGUAAUGUAUAGCUAAUCUGCCCUACACUAGAGGACAACAGUUGGAAACGACUGCUAAUACUCUAUACUCCUCUCUAGCAUAAGUUAGAUAGGGAAAGUUUUUCGGUGUAGGAUGAGGCUAUAUUGUAUCAGCUAGUUGGUGAGGUAAUGGCUCACCAAGGCUAUGACGCAUAACUGGUCUGAGAGGAUGAUCAGUCACACUGGAACUGAGACACGGUCCAGACUCCUACGGGAGGCAGCAGUAGGGAAUAUUGCUCAAUGGGGGAAACCCUGAAGCAGCAACGCCGCGUGGAGGAUGACACUUUUCGGAGCGUAAACUCCUUUUGUUAGGGAAG